GAGGGUGUAGCUCAAUGGUAGAGCACGUGCCUAGCAUGCAUGUGGUCCUGGGUUCAAUCCCCAGUACCUCCA
rnacentral:tRNA from 1 species